UGUUUUGCUAACUAUUCCUCAUAUUUCGUUUACUGAUCUACACUUACAAAUGCGCUUCCAGAGUUUUCAUUUACGCUUCUGAAGUUUUCGUUUACACUCCCUGAGUUUGCGUUCGCUGUUCUGACACAAAUCUCUCGUGGGGGCGGGGCUAGUAGAAGUGUAUUCUUAUUGGCUACUGAGUUUUUGAUUGACAGCUUCUUGACCUGGAAGUGAAGACGUCAGUGAGUGUUGUGUUUACACGUUUGGAUGUGAGCGUCUGUAAGCGUAGCUUUCUAUUUCAUUUAGGUGAUAUUAAGUUUAUUUCUUUAUUUAUUUACUGCUACACUAUAUUGUUGAUAUGAUUUCUUAUAGAAGGAAUAGUACAGACAAAUGAUAUAAUUUGUCAUCGUCGAUAUCAGAAUACUGGAUAGCAUAGGCUACUCGUGGUGGAGAGGCAUAUUAGAGCUCAGUGAGAGCCCAUAACAUUAUACAGCAGUGUUGUCUUGAUUUAAUUGGGAUUUGAGCAACUUUUCCACAAACAAAAUUCUGAUGCUGACACAGAGGAUGGAGUGAUAAUACCAGAGAUCAGCUGUCUCCAUCAGACAAUAAUGUUACUUUGUUCAGACAUAUCACCUUUGAAUUACUGGGAUCCUUAUCUUCAGACACCUGUUGUAUUUUAUUUUAAUAUUAUAAAAUAGCAAAUAUUUUAAUUUCUUUGGAGCUCUAGAUUAAAACAAACACAGUACACAAGAGGUUGCAGUUUAUUCUUAUUAGUCUCUGCUGAUCAUGGAUUAGCAUACCAACAGCAUAUGAAUGGAAUAGUUCAUCCAAAAAUAAAAUUCUCACUUAUUUUACUCACCCUCAUGCUGUCCCAGAUGCAUUUUACUUUCUUUCUACAGAUAAAUACGAAUUAAGAUUUUAAGGAAAGUAAUCCAUCUCUGCAAGCCCUAAAGAUGCUUUAAAAACCACACACAGUGACCGUGAUGUCCAUGUGACCUCAGUGGAUGAAUCAAUACUGAAGUGAAACAAUAGAAUAAAAAAAAAUAAAUACUAAUAAUGUAAACUGUUUUAACUAUUAAAAAUCAUUUCCGACCAACUGCCAUACAUGGGUACAAUCCACUUGUGUUAUGUGGACUCACAGAGAUGUAUUAUUUCAUUAAAAAUCUUUGUGAGAUUAUACAUUUUAUUAUGUAUAUUAUGAGAAUACUGUGCAUUACAUGUAUAGUAUGCAGUUAAUGUUUUGUGGAUUCUGGUCUUUCCUGUCAUAACUGCAUCCAAGACUUUCACUUUGGUACUUGUGUAUAUGCUGUAGUGACAAUAAAGAAUGAAUAAAUUUA